GCCGUAUGGCGCGGCCAUGACUCUCACCGCCCUCCGGAGGCGGGAGCGCAGGUUCGAAUCCUGCCGGGGGCA
rnacentral:tRNA from 1 species